AAAAAACAUUUGCAGCAUGAAAGAAAAAAUAAAAAAAACAAUGGUUCUGCUAGGGUAUUCAACCCUUUUCUUUGCGCCGCCGCCAAUCAAGGCCAACCCACGCCCUCGGUCGUCCUAGUCUUCGAUCACGACGGAGAAGGGUACACUGCGAUGACACCAGGUGUACGGAGGCCGUACGGUGACGUGGAGGGCGACAAACGUGUGGAGGUGCGCGUGGAAGGAGGAGUCGGGCUUCUGUGCUCAUGGAGAGCGGCGGGGGCUGUUAGUUUGCUGCCUAGGGUUUCUGAUUUUGAUUUUUGUUUUGGGCUACGGGUAUUUGGGCUGAUGGUUAGGUCUGGGCUUGGGUUAAUUGGGUUUUGUAAUAUGGACAUUUGGACUUUGGUUUUUUGUUUUCUAUUGGUUUUAUUUUUUUAUUUUUUCUAAAAUGUAUGUGGGCCAGGCAAAUUUGGGUUACUACAGUAAGCUUCUCGACGAUCCGCUUGA